rnacentral:sRNA from 1 species
AUUCUGCCCAUGCGGGGAAGGAUGAGAAGCUUCGACUAAGGUUCGACUCGAGCGCCAGCGAGAGAGCGUUGCCACAGGCAACGACCCGUAGGGCGAAGCGCGCAGCGCUGAGUAAUCCUUCCCCCACCACCA